rnacentral:pre_miRNA from 1 species
ACUUGAAUCAUCUGGGAAUUUGUUAAAAUGCAAAUGCUGAUUCUGAAGGUCUGGGGUGGGCCUGAGAUUCUACAUUGCUGUCAAAUUCCCAGAGGCUGCUGCU